AAUGGGAGAAGAGAUUUGUAAAUGACAUAUCAGAUAAAGGCUUUACCAUCAAGAGUCAAGGGGCAAGGACCAUGUGCAGGGUCUUGUGGAGUUUGCAGCCUGACAGAAAUAAACAAGCCACCUGGUUCACGAAUGAAGGAAAUGGACCAGAUACCAAGAACGCCUCUUAAUCCCUGAUCACUUGGACAGGAGGGCCAAGAGUACUUUGACAUACUGAUCGUCGGGAUUCAGCUCAAGGGCCUGCUUCAGAUCAUCAGCAGAGAAUGGCUU